AAGGGCGUGAACCUUGAAAACUGGAUAAGGAAUCAUUGUUUUCAUCUAACGAUGAGACAAUUGAUGACAAGACAUCUAAUUGAAAUUGUAAACGUCUUUUCACGAAGAUAGUUAAGUGAAUAAGGGCGCACGGUGGAUGCCUUGGUACUAGGAGCCGAUGAAGGACGGGACUAACACCGAUAUGC
rnacentral:rRNA from 1 species